rnacentral:rRNA from 1 species
AUUGAACGCUGGCGGCAUGCUUUACACAUGCAAGUCGAACGGUAACAGGCCGCAAGGUGCUGGCGAGUGGCGAACGGGUGAGUAAUGCAUCGGAACGUGCCCAGUCGUGGGGGAUAACGCAGCGAAAGCUGCGCUAAUACCGCAUACGAUAUCUGGAUGAAAGCGGGGGACCGAAAGGCCUCGUGCGAUUGGAGCGGCCGAUGUCAGAUUAGGUAGUUGGUGGGGUAAAGGCUCACCAAGCCAACGAUCUGUAGCUGGUCUGAGAGGACGACCAGCCACACGGGGACUGAUACACGGCCCAGACUCCUACGGGAGGCAGCAGUGGGGAAUUUUGGACAAUGGGCGCAAUCCUGAUCCAGCAAUGCCGCGUGCAGGAAGAAGGCCUUCGGGUUGUAAACUGCUUUUGUACGGAACGAAACGGUCCUGGUUAAUACCUGGGGCUAAUGACGGUACCGUAAGAAUAAGCACCGGCUAACUACGUGCCAGCCGCCGCCGUAAGAC